GACGAACGCUGGCGGCGUGCUUAACACAUGCAAGUCGAACGAUGACGACCGAGCUUGCUCGGUCUGAUUAGUGGCGAACGGGUGAGUAACACGUGAGCAACCUGCCCUUCACUCUGGGAUAACCUCGGGAAAUCGGGGCUAAUACCGGAUAUGAGCUCCUGUCGCAUGGCGGGUGUUGGAAAGUUUUUCGGUGAAGGAUGGGCUCGCGGCCUAUCAGUUUGUUGGUGAGGUAGUGGCUCACCAAGGCGAUGACGGGUAGCCGGCCUGAGAGGGCGACCGCCACACUGGGACUGAGACACGGCCCAGACUCCUACGGGAGGCAGCAGUGGGGAAUAUUGCACAAUGGGCGAAAGCCUGAUGCAGCGACGCCGCGUGAGGGAUGACGGCCUUCGGGUUGUAAACCUCUUUCAGCAGGGAAGAAGCGAAAGUGACGGUACCUGCAGAAGAAGCGCCGGCGAACUACGU
rnacentral:rRNA from 1 species